UAUAAAAUAGCUUAUAAACAAUUAUAACUUCAUCAUGGUGUUUCUUUCUGUAUCAAUUAUUACAUAAUGAAUGCAAAAUGAUGUGGUCGAAAGCUAUUUUUUGGAGUAUCUAACAAAAACAUAACAUAUAGUGAUUAAAUUUAGGAAACAAAUUGAAACAGAAGAAGAAAUGGGAAAGAACAAAAGUAAAUUACACAAAGAGAAAGUAAUGUGCAUGCAUGUAAACAUGCUCAAGCCAACUAAUUAAUCUUAUUCAUUCGAUAACAAUAAGGUAAACAACAAUUUUGUCUGUGGAUGUGAGAGUGAGAGAGACAAACAGUGAAUGAGAUCUGAAAGAAGCCCCACUAAUACAUUAAUGGCAACAACUACCCACCCUAUUUAUCCACACAAUUUCUACCACCCAUUGCACACAUUCCAGAGAUCCACCUGCUUUCACUUCCUCUCUUUUUCUUCUUCUUCUUUUCUCUCUGCCAUGUUCAACCCCGUCAGUAGAAAAACCCCACCCAUGCUACCUCACAUACCCUGCAUUUUCUCUGCGGUUCAUGUUCUACUCCUUUUUUCAGUAACCCAAUUCAGCAUCACCGCAGGAGCAACAAGAUCCCUCCAACAAAAUCACCUCCAUUUCCAUGUAGCAAACUCAACAUGCGAGGGAACACUUUACCCGGACCUCUGCGUCUCAACCCUUACCUCUUUCCCAGAUCUCACCUCAAAAACCGUCCCAGAAAUGAUACGUUCUGUCGUGAACCACACCAUAUACGAGGUCACAUUGUCCUCCUCCAACUGCAGCAGUCUCCGAAAGAAGCUCCCGGGUCUCAACAAACUCGAAAAGCGAGCUCUCGACGACUGCCUCAACCUCUUCGACGAAACCGUGGAGGAGCUCAAAACCACCGUCAAGGAUCUCUCCCAGAGCACAAUAGGGUCGAAGCGCUACCACGACUCGCAGACUUUCUUAAGCGGCGCCAUGACCAACCUCUACACGUGUCUGGAUGGCUUUGCAUACAGCAAAGGGAACGUGAGAGACAGGAUUGAGGAGGGGGUGUUGGAGAUUUCGCAUCUCGUGAGCAACUCCUUGGCCAUGCUGAAGAAAGUUCCCGAAAAGAAGAAACAGUCCAAGAACGAGGUUUUCCCCGAAUAUGGAAAGAUGAAAGAUGGGUUCCCCUCGUGGGUUUCCCCUAACGACCGGAAGUUGCUUCAAGCUGCUGUGAAUGAAACGAAGUUUGACCUCGUUGUGGCCAAAGAUGGCAGUGGCAACUUCACCACUAUCGGUGCAGCAGUGGCUGCGGCUCCAAACUCCAGCGCCACUAGGCAAGUACACUACCACCUUAUCAUCACGUUAUCACCUCACUUUCCAAAAGUAAAAAAUCAUAAAAUAAAUAGUUUGUGCAAUAUCAAAAAACAUAACAUGAGAGAAUUGUUCUUGGUUUUGGCAUUAUAUAUUAAAUGGUUUGACGUUUUACGAAGUGGUAUUAAAUUUGAAGUGUAGAUUUGUGAUACACAUAAAAGCUGGGGCAUACUUCGAGAACGUGGAGGUAAUCAGGAAGAAGAGCAAUCUAAUGUGGGUGGGAGAUGGAAUUGGAAAGACUGUUGUGAAGGCUAGCAGGAACGUCGUGGAUGGCUGGACCACUUUCCAAUCUGCCACUGUCGGUGCGUUUCACUCAAACAUUUCUUCCUCUUAUAAACUUGUUUGGUAUUCAUUAUUGAAGCCUUUAAAUACAAUAAACAUGGAAACAACAGUUACAAUUAAUAAUUUAUCUUAAUUAAUGUUCAUUCAAUUUGGAGAAAAUAAUGAUAACAAUAUAGGAAUAAAUAGAGAGAGAAGUCAACAUUAAAAAUGUCCACACGACAAAAAUAUGAUUGCUUCAAUUAUUAGAAGUAGUAGAAGGUAAAACAGACAUUCGAACGCG
rnacentral:lncRNA from 1 species